rnacentral:rRNA from 1 species
GUCUAUGGCAAAUACCAUCCUGAACACACCUAUCUUGGUCUGAUCUUGGAAGCUAAGCAGGGUCAGGCUUGGUUAGUACAUGGAUUGGAGGAGAGGAAAGGGUGGAGGAGCUCUCAGACACUGCAAACC